UUAUCCAGAGAAAAUACAUUAUAUGGCUAAAGUAUCUGGGCACCCUGUCUACAUACAUUUGUGUACUUUGCUCUGCAGCUGUUUUCUAUUGUUUGGGCUAGGGCUGGAUAUUGAACCUGAAUACUUUUUAGGUACCAACUGAAAUAUGUCUGUAACUGCUAGGCCCGGGAUUUGGUAGAUUUUUAUCUGAAUCCUUUCUAAUCCCUUAUCAAAUAGAUUUGUAAUCACCGUGUUUUGGCUCAGCAGCCAGAGCAGCUUUAGGUGGCAGCCUCAUAGAUGUUCUUAACCUGUAGCUGUAACCUAAAAGCAAAAAGUUCAACAGAAGUUAUGAAAUGUUACAUUUAUCUGACACGUCUUUUUGCCAGCUACUUGCGCCACAUAUUGGACAUCCCUUUGCAUAACUAUUAAGUUGAUUAGCUUGAAAUAUUGAUGAUAAUACUGUACAGCAAUCCUCAAAUAGUCACAGAGACCAGUUCGAUGGCAGGGAAUACAGUGUCAGGGUGAUUUACAGCACCUCCCUCCUGGGACAAGGAGAGGCGUCGUGGGAGAGGAGCAAGUAGGGAGUUAAUGUGUAAGCAUCACGGUGCAUUCACAUGCUCUUUGGAUGGUCCCAUCUCCCGAGUUAUGAAGUUAUUCGUCCGACUUCGGUGUGAUCAUGUGCUUUUAAGUCGCAAUGUGGAAACAACAUGGAUGCUACUACAAAGAUGUUUUGGCCAUUGUCAUCCAAGUCUGCUGAAACAGUUUGAAGCUCUCUAUUAAAAAGUGAUUUUUGUCCCAGAGUUGUUUCUGCACCAGCUGAAACCACACAAAAAAAUGCUUGUACUGCAAAUACUGCUAAUAAAUAACUUUUUUAAUUAA